rnacentral:rRNA from 1 species
UGGGGAAUUUUGCACAAUGGGGGAAACCCUGAUGCAGCGACGCCGCGUGAUUUAGAAGGCCUUCGGGUUGUAAAAAUCUUUUCUAUGGGAAGAAAAUGACAGUACCAUAGGAAUAAGGACCGGCUAAUUACGUGCCAGCAGCCGCGGUAAUACGUAAGGUCCGAGCGUUGUCCGGAAUCAUUGGGCGUAAAGGGUACGUAGGCGGGUAAGCAAGUUAGAAGUGAAAUCCUAUAGCUCAACUAUAGUAAGCUUUUAAAGCUGCUCAUCUUGAGGUAUGGAAGGGAAAGUGGAAUUCCUAGUGUAGCGGUGAAAUGCGCAGAUAUUAGGAGGAAUACCGGUGGCGAAGGCGACUUUCUGACCAUAACCUGACGCUGAGGUACGAAAGCGUGGGUAGCAAACAGG